CUACGUUAGCUCAACCUCAUGCUAAUCACAUUAGCCUACAUUAGCUCAACCGUCUCACAGGGGGAGACCGAUCCCGUUGAGGAUAACGCCCUUUUAGUGUAACACCAGAUCCCAAAUGAGUGGAUUUCACAACUUGAAUCUGUUUACACAUUUUAUCACAUGUUUUUAAUACUUCAUUUGUGGAGGUGAAGAAUCUUUUCAACUAAUUUUGAGCAUUUUUUAUGAAAGUUAAACUAUACCUCUUCAGUUAUGUUAACCUAUAUUCUAAUUGUACUAGUCUGUUUAUCAUCAUGAACCUCUGUUGUCCGUCUAGAAACGGUGCUGUUACAGAUACUGCUUGUGUUUAUCAUCAUGAACCUCCUGUUGUCCGUCUAGAAACGGUGCUGUUACAGAUACUGCUUGUGUUUAUCAUCAUGAACCUCCUCUGUUUGUCUGUCUAGAAACGGUGCUGUUACAGAUGCUGCUUGUGUUUAUCAUCAUGAACCUCUGUUGUCCGUCUAGAAACAGUGCUGUUACAGAUACUGCUUGUGUUUGUCAUCAUGUGACGGGAAGAUUAGAACAUGUACCUUUUCUUUAUGUUUAAUGUGAAAACAAGGUUCAUUUCAUUCUAAUUCUGAAGAUGAAUCAAAACAUUUAGGCGUUAAAGUAAAUACAUCGAAGCAAGGUGUAAGGUUGUAAACAGAUGACCUCAAACGAAUGCAGAGAAAAGCUCAGAGUUUAUUCACCCCACUGAAUGCUGUAUUUAUAUGCCACAGCUUGCACAUAACAAAACAAUAAUUGAUAUGUCAAGACAAAGGUAGGGGUGUGACUUCUCAGAAAUGUCCUUCUGUUUCCCAGAACUGCCUGUCGGUCUGUUGUUGAGCGGCUGGUAUCACCCCUCCCCCAUUAUCCCCCAUGUUGUUCCACCUCCUUGUGGGAGGAGCCAGGCGAGGCCACAGAUCAGACUCCUCCAUCUCAUCCCACCAACUCUGUCAGUCCACCAGGCCACUGCAGUAACAGCCAUAUCUUCACAUCACGUAGCUUCAGUACCAUCUCAAUGUGUUGAAGCACCAUCCUGGAUCCUGUGGCAACGUCAAUAUGAAACAGCAUUGACCCGUGAUCACCACCAACCAGGGCUCCACAGCGGUGUCCUUUGAUGGCCAGGAUUUGCUCAAGAUCAACUAAAGGAGAUUUGGAUGGCCCCUUGUCAGUGGCCCUAGGAGUGAAGGGCCCG